AGGGAGACGUGGUGGGCGGUCCUUCCUGUGACACGACCCUUGAGUGACAGUUCUAUUUGAUUGCCUCCGGUACUGUGAGGAAAGGACACGACUCUAUGGUGAGGACUGAUGGACAUACAUUAUCUGAGAAAAGAAACUACCAGUAAAGACGGGGUUUCACCGUGUUAGCCAGGAUGGUCUCGAUCUCCUGACUUCAUGAUCCGCCUGCCUUGGCCUCCCAAAGUGCUUGGAUUACAGGCGUGAGCCACCGCACCUGGCCGCAAAGUUAUCUUUUAAGAGGUUAUCUUAGGUCUUGCGUGGAGUCUAGGAUGAUAGCACUGAUGGUGGCAGCCUCCAGCUCUGAGCUUUCCAAUCCCCAGAGUAGCAAAUGUUGAAAGAAGUUGCACAGGUGACAAACAGCAUGUUUGGUGCUUCAAGAAAGAAGUUUGUAGAGGGGGUCGACAGUGACUACCAUGACGAAAACAUGUACUACAGCCAGUCUUCUAUGUUUCCACAUCGGUCAGAAAAAGAUAUGCUGGCAUCACCAUCUACAUCAGGUCAGCUGUCUCAGUUUGGGGCAAGUUUAUACGGG
rnacentral:lncRNA from 1 species